GGGGAGGAGGGAAGGAUUGCAUUGGGAGUUAUACCUGAUGUAAAUGAUGAGCUGAUGGGUGCCGACGAGUUGAUGGGUGCAGCACACCAACAUGACACAAGUAUACAUAUGUAACAAACCUGCACGUUAUGCACAUGUACCCUAGAACUUAAAGUAUAAUAAUAAUAAAAAAAGAAAUAAAAAGCAAAAGUGAGGCACAGAUGAGAUGAGAGGUGCUUAUAUGAAAUCUCUUAUGUGAAUUUGUUUUAAGGUGACUUAAUUGAAACUCUGACUCUCUUCUUUUGACCCCUCAGCCUGAACAAUCCAUCAGCAACCCAUGAGCCAGCAGAACAAAAGAUGACAGAACUGGGGCUGGCAGAGCAAGGAAUGAAAAAGAACAGAUCAGUGUUCAGUUUGAAAGAGCCAUAAUUCAGCAGUCUUUCUAUACUACCUCUCAGAGGAAGGAGCCUGCGUGUCUAAAGAGAGAAGUGAAGUUUAAGUACUGGAAAAAAGGAAAGUCUUCAGCCUUGGGAAUGUAAUAACCUGGGGUCAGCUGAGAACCCUGAGGAAGACUGACCCAAUCAGCUGCUGGGAGAAGCAACAUAACUGCUCUGCUGGAGGGAGAAACAAAUUCUAAUCAGAUGUGAGUCAGCCAUCCAGGGAGCUUCUGUUAUCAUGAGAAAAGGAAGUGCUCUUCCUUUCAACUGGAAAACUAGAAUGUGCCACUUUUUUUUAUUGUUAAUGCUCCUUCUUUUUUAUUAAUUUUGUAAUAAAAAUUUAACUUAAAAGUUGAUAUGCAAACAAGAAGUGUGUAACAAUCUGAAUAUUUAACAUUGAUAGCUUUAUCUAUUUUAAAAAAUUAAAGAGAAUAUAUUAGAGUUUAAUGUUUACUGCACACAAGAUGAAACAGAAACUAAACUUCGUUACAUUUUUAAAAAGUUCUUUAACUUAUUCAGUUUGGAUUUAUUAUUUGUAAAGUGAAAAGAAAUUCUUUUUCUCCAAAAUGUUUGUCCUUUACUAACUUUAGAAAAUUGAUUUCACUAUUCCAAGUUUCAGCUUUUUAUUCAGAAAUUAAGAAAUAUGUCAGUAUGUGUCUAUUAUUACUAUAGGUCGCUUCUCAGCCUUUUGGCUAAGAUCCAGUGUAUUGUUAUUAUAGAAUGGGUUCUCAGAUAAAGAAAAAAACUAAGAAUUUUCUCAGGUUUUUGGGACUAUUUCAUUAUAAAAACAAAAACUAUAUAUGAUUAAAUUGAUAUAACCUUUUUGAUGGACUCACUUGGAAAAGAGUGACAAGAUGCAAUUUGAGGAGUUUUAUGGGCCAAUGUUAAGGCUAGGCGUACAUUUUCUAUUUUGAAAUCUCUGUUAUCUUUGUGGUACCCAGAAUAUGUAGUGAGGUAAAUAGAUAUCACCUUAAGAAACAGAAAAAAGAAAAAUAAAAAGAAACACCUUCUAUUUC
rnacentral:lncRNA from 1 species